GCUUGCUUCAGUAACGCAUAUACUAAAAUUGGAACUAUAUGGAGAAGAUUAGCAUGGCCCCUGCAAGAAAUAUUUGCCUACCCAAAGUAAUACAGGUAUUUUUC